rnacentral:rRNA from 1 species
GACGAACGCUGGCGGCGUGCUUAACACAUGCAAGUCGAACGGAAAGGCCCUGCUUUUGUGGGGUGCUCGAGUGGCGAACGGGUGAGUAACACGUGAGUAACCUGCCCUUGACUUUGGGAUAACUUCAGGAAACUGGGGCUAAUACCGGAUAGGAGCUCCUGCUGCAUGGUGGGGGUUGGAAAGUUUCGGCGGUUGGGGAUGGACUCGCGGCUUAUCAGCUUGUUGGUGGGGUAGUGGCUUACCAAGGCUUUGACGGGUAGCCGGCCUGAGAGGGUGACCGGCCACAUUGGGACUGAGAUACGGCCCAGACUCCUACGGGGGGUAGCAGUGGGGAAUAUUGCACAAGGGGCGGAAGCCUGAUGCAGCAACGCCGCGUGCGGGAUGACGGCCUUCGGGUUGUAAACCGUUUUCGCCUGUGACGAAGCGUGAGUGAGGGUAAUGGGUAAAGAAGCACCGGCUAACUACGUG